UCAUGAUUAUAUUAUGUCUAUGUCUAUGUGAAUCAGCUGUUUAUAUCUGACCGAAGCAGCGAUUACUUCACAGCGAUUUGCGGUCCCGGCGGUGAGAGCGUGAGCCAGCCGCAGGGUCCACGUGGAAGGUUGCAGGAUAUUCGGCUCAACAUUGAAAGACCGAUUCUAGCCGAUCAGACUAAUGCACUGACAAGCGGUAGUUUUGUACCUAUCGUUGCAAAAGUCAAUCAGCGAACCCCCGGACCAACUCCAAGUCGGCUAUCCAAGAAGAAUUUGAAAAGGG